rnacentral:ncRNA from 1 species
GUAUUGAGAGGACAUUUUCCUAGUAUGAGAGGACCAAGGAGGAUGCACUUUUGGUGUAUCAGUUAUCGUGCCCAUGGUAAACGCUAGGUAGCCAAAUUUGAAGAGGAUAACUGCUCAUGAAAACAUCUAAGUAGUAAGCCAACUCCAAAAAAUGAGUGC